GUUGUGAAAUGUUGGGUUAAGUCCCGCAACGAGCGCAACCCUUAUCCUUUGUUGCCAGCGAUUCGGUCGGGAACUCAAAGGAGACUGCCAGUGAUAAACUGGAGGAAGGUGGGGAUGACGUCAAGUCAUCAUGGCCCUUACGAGUAGGGCUACACACGUGCUACAAUGGCAUAUACAAAGAGAAGCGACCUCGCGAGAGCAAGCGGACCUCAUAAAGUAUGUCGUAGUCCGGAUUGGAGUCUGCAACUCGACUCCAUGAAGUCGGAAUCGCUAGUAAUCGUGGAUCAGAAUGCCACGGUGAAUACGUUCCCGGGCCUUGUACACACCGCCCGUCACACCAUGGGAGUGGGUUGCAAAAGAAGUAGGUAGCUUAACCUUCGGGAGGGCGCUUACCACUUUGUGAUUCAUGACUGGGGUGAAGUCGUAACAAGGUAACCG
rnacentral:rRNA from 1 species